AUAUACCCCAGGAUUAUAUUACUAUAAGUCGUAAUAUAAGUACAUAUUUUAAUUGUUUUUUAGUCAUUAUGGCAAAAAAUAUAUUUUUCUUUGUAAACAAUACUUUUUCUCCUGUAAAAAAUCACAUUUAGAAAAAUUUUUUAUUAGUAAUUUUAUUUAUCAUGGAAUCCAGUUAUUCCAUGAUUCCAGUUAUAAAUCCCAAUUGGCUUACUGAAAAGGAACUCCAAGUAUUCACUGAUGCCGAAUAAGGUUUAUAACAAACAACUAAGUGUAUUUUUUCAAAAAAAAUUAAACAAAUCCGCUGUUUUUAAGUAUAUUUUCUUGUGGCGUACAAAGUACGCCACGCGUGUAGUUAUGUUAUAACUUGAUGCGCGGGUAGUUAAAGGUUAA